GACGAACGCUGGCGGCGUGCCUAAUACAUGCAAGUUGAGCGCUGAAGGUUGGUACUUGUACCAACUGGAUGAGCAGCGAACGGGUGAGUAACGCGUGGGGAAUCUGCCUUUGAGCGGGGGACAACAUUUGGAAACGAAUGCUAAUACCGCAUAAAAACUUUAAACACAAGUUUUAAGUUUGAAAGAUGCAAUUGCAUCACUCAAAGAUGAUCCCGCGUUGUAUUAGCUAGUUGGUGAGGUAAAGGCUCACCAAGGCGAUGAUACAUAGCCGACCUGAGAGGGUGGUCGGCCACAUUGGGACUGAGAAACGGCCCAAACUCCUACGGGAGGCAGCAGUAGGGAAUCUUCGGCAAUGGACGAAAGUCUGACCGAGCAACGCCGCGUGAGUGAAGAAGGUUUUCGGAUCGUAAAACUCUGUUGGUAGAGAAGAACGUUGGUGAGAGUGGAAAGCUCAUCAAGUGACGGUAACUACCCAGAAAGGGACGGCUAACUACGUG
rnacentral:rRNA from 1 species